GACGAACGCUGGCGGCGUGCUUAACACAUGCCAGUCGAACGGAAAGGCCCUGCUUUUGUGGGGUGCUCGAGUGGCGAACGGGUGAGUAACACGUGAGUAACCUGCCCUUGACUUUGGGAUAACUUCAGGAAACUGGGGCUAAUACCGGAUAGGAGCUCCUGCUGCAUGGUGGGGGUUGGAAAGUUUCGGCGGUAGGGGAUGGACUCGGGGCUUAUCAGCUUGUUGGUGGGGUAGUGGUUUACCAAGGCUUUGACGGGUAGCCGGCCUGAGAGGGUGACCGGCCACAUGGGGACUGAGAUACGGCCCAGACUGCAACGGGAGGCAGCAGUGGGGAAUAUGGCACAAUGGGCGGGAGUCUGAUGCAGCAACGCCGCGUGCGGGAUGACGGCCUUCGGGUGGUAAACCGCUUUCGCCUGUGACGAAGCGUGAGUGACGGUAAUGGGUAAAGAAGCACCGGCUAACUACGUG
rnacentral:rRNA from 1 species